rnacentral:ribozyme from 13 species
CCUUUUUCUUUUGCUUUCUUUUCCUCCUCCUCCUGUGUUCUUUUUCGUUACUUCUUCAUUUUUUUUUGCAAAGUCUUGUUUGAAAGAUGGGGAGGACUGCAGGGAAGUUUAAAGAAAAAUCUCCGAAACAUAAAAAGAAAAUCA